rnacentral:rRNA from 1 species
GUAGGGUGCGAGCGUUAAUCGGAAUUACUGGGCGUAAAGCGUGCGCAGGCGGCUUUGCAAGACAGAUGUGAAAUCCCCGGGCUCAACCUGGGAACUGCAUUUGUGACUGCAAGGCUAGAGUACGGCAGAGGGGGAUGGAAUUCCGCGUGUAGCAGUGAAAUGCGUAGAUAUGCGGAGGAACACCGAUGGCGAAGGCAAUCCCCUGGGCCUGUACUGACGCUCAUGCACGAAAGCGUGGGGAGCAAACAGGAUUAGAUACCCUGGUAGUCCCACGCCCUAAACGAUGUCAACUGGUUGUUGGACGGCUUGCUGUUCAGUAACGAAGCUAACGCGUGAAGUUGACCGCCUGGGGAGUACGGCCGCAAGGUUG